rnacentral:rRNA from 1 species
UUAAGCGACUAAGCGUACACGGUGGAUGCCCUGGCAGUCAGAGGCGAUGAAGGACGUGCUAAUCUGCGAUAAGCGUCGGUGAGGUGAUAUGAACCGUUAUAACCGGCGAUUUCCGAAUGGGGAAACCCAGUGUGUUUCGACACACUAUCAUUAACUGAAUCCAUAGGUUAAUGAGGCGAACCGGGGGAACUGAAACAUCUAAGUACCCCGAGGAAAAGAAAUCAACCGAGAUUCCCCCAGUAGCGGCGAGCGAACGGGGAGGAGCCCAGAGCCUGAAUCAGUGUGUGUGUUAGUGGAAGCGUCUGGAAAGGCGCGCGAUACAGGGUGACAGCCCCGUACACAAAAAUGCACAUAUUGUGAGCUCGAUGAGUAGGGCGGGACACGUGGUAUCCUGUCUGAAUAUGGGGGGACCAUCCUCCAAGGCUAAAUACUCCUGACUGACCGAUAGUGAACCAGUACCGUGAGGGAAAGGCGAAAAGAACCCCGGCGAGGGGAGUGAAAAAGAACCUGAAACCGUGUACGUACAAGCAGUGGGAGCCUCUUUAUGGGGUGACUGCGUACCUUUUGUAUAAUGGGUCAGCGACUUAUAUUCUGUAGCAAGGUUAACCGAAUAGGGGAGCCGAAGGGAAACCGAGUCUUAACUGGGCGUUAAGUUGCAGGGUAUAGACCCGAAACCCGGUGAUCUAGCCAUGGGCAGGUUGAAGGUUGGGUAACACUAACUGGAGGACCGAACCGACUAAUGUUGAAAAAUUAGCGGAUGACUUGUGGCUGGGGGUGAAAGGCCAAUCAAACCGGGAGAUAGCUGGUUCUCCCCGAAAGCUAUUUAGGUAGCGCCUCGUGAAUUCAUCUCCGGGGGUAGAGCACUGUUUCGGCAAGGGGGUCAUCCCGACUUACCAACCCGAUGCAAACUGCGAAUACCGGAGAAUGUUAUCACGGGAGACACACGGCGGGUGCUAACGUCCGUCGUGAAGAGGGAAACAACCCAGACCGCCAGCUAAGGUCCCAAAGUCAUGGUUAAGUGGGAAACGAUGUGGGAAGGCCCAGACAGCCAGGAUGUUGGCUUAGAAGCAGCCAUCAUUUAAAGAAAGCGUAAUAGCUCACUGGUCGAGUCGGCCUGCGCGGAAGAUGUAACGGGGCUAAACCAUGCACCGAAGCUGCGGCAGCGACACUAUGUGUUGUUGGGUAGGGGAGCGUUCUGUAAGCCUGUGAAGGUGGCCUGUGAGGGUUGCUGGAGGUAUCAGAAGUGCGAAUGCUGACAUAAGUAACGAUAAAGCGGGUGAAAAGCCCGCUCGCCGGAAGACCAAGGGUUCCUGUCCAACGUUAAUCGGGGCAGGGUGAGUCGACCCCUAAGGCGAGGCCGAAAGGCGUAGUCGAUGGGAAACAGGUUAAUAUUCCUGUACUUGGUGUUACUGCGAAGGGGGGACGGAGAAGGCUAUGUUGGCCGGGCGACGGUUGUCCCGGUUUAAGCGUGUAGGCUGGUUUUCCAGGCAAAUCCGGAAAACCAAGGCUGAGGCGUGAUGACGAGGCACUACGGUGCUGAAGCGACAAAUGCCCUGCUUCCAGGAAAAGCCUCUAAGCAUCAGGUAACAUCAAAUCGUACCCCAAACCGACACAGGUGGUCAGGUAGAGAAUACCAAGGCGCUUGAGAGAACUCGGGUGAAGGAACUAGGCAAAAUGGUGCCGUAACUUCGGGAGAAGGCACGCUGAUAUGUAGGUGAAGCGACUUGCUCGUGGAGCUGAAAUCAGUCGAAGAUACCAGCUGGCUGCAACUGUUUAUUAAAAACACAGCACUGUGCAAACACGAAAGUGGACGUAUACGGUGUGACGCCUGCCCGGUGCCGGAAGGUUAAUUGAUGGGGUUAGCGGUAACGCGAAGCUCUUGAUCGAAGCCCCGGUAAACGGCGGCCGUAACUAUAACGGUCCUAAGGUAGCGAAAUUCCUUGUCGGGUAAGUUCCGACCUGCACGAAUGGCGUAAUGAUGGCCAGGCUGUCUCCACCCGAGACUCAGUGAAAUUGAACUCGCUGUGAAGAUGCAGUGUACCCGCGGCAAGACGGAAAGACCCCGUGAACCUUUACUAUAGCUUGACACUGAACAUUGAGCCUUGAUGUGUAGGAUAGGUGGGAGGCUUUGAAGUGUGGACGCCAGUCUGCAUGGAGCCGACCUUGAAAUACCACCCUUUAAUGUUUGAUGUUCUAACGUUGGCCCGUAAUCCGGGUUGCGGACAGUGUCUGGUGGGUAGUUUGACUGGGGCGGUCUCCUCCUAAAGAGUAACGGAGGAGCACGAAGGUUGGCUAAUCCUGGUCGGACAUCAGGAGGUUAGUGCAAUGGCAUAAGCCAGCUUGACUGCGAGCGUGACGGCGCGAGCAGGUGCGAAAGCAGGUCAUAGUGAUCCGGUGGUUCUGAAUGGAAGGGCCAUCGCUCAACGGAUAAAAGGUACUCCGGGGAUAACAGGCUGAUACCGCCCAAGAGUUCAUAUCGACGGCGGUGUUUGGCACCUCGAUGUCGGCUCAUCACAUCCUGGGGCUGAAGUAGGUCCCAAGGGUAUGGCUGUUCGCCAUUUAAAGUGGUACGCGAGCUGGGUUUAGAACGUCGUGAGACAGUUCGGUCCCUAUCUGCCGUGGGCGCUGGAGAACUGAGGGGGGCUGCUCCUAGUACGAGAGGACCGGAGUGGACGCAUCACUGGUGUUCGGGUUGUCAUGCCAAUGGCACUGCCCGGUAGCUAAAUGCGGAAGAGAUAAGUGCUGAAAGCAUCUAAGCACGAAACUUGCCCCGAGAUGAGUUCUCCCUGAGUCCUAGAGUGUCCUGAAGGAACGUUGAAGACGACGACGUUGAUAGGCCGGGUGUGUAAGCGCAGCGAUGCGUUGAGCUAACCGGUACUAAUGAACCGUGAGGCUUAACCUU